rnacentral:rRNA from 1 species
AGAGUUUGAUCCUGGCUCAGGAUGAACGCUGGCGGCGUGGAUAAGGCAUGCAAGUCAAGGGGGUACUGAGGCCGCAAGGCCGAAGUGCAACCGGCAAACGGGUUAGUAACACGUAGAUACAAACCCUAGAAAUGGGGACAACCCAGAGAAAUCUGGGCUAAUACCCAAUGGUCUAGCAAUAGUAAAGAUAAAGAGCAAUCUUUGUCGUUCUAGGAUUGGUCUGCGGCCUAUCAGCUUGUUGGUGAGGUAAUGGCCCACCAAGGCGAUGACGGGUAGGGGGUGUGAGAGCAUGACCCCCAACAUUGGGACUGAGACACUGCCCAAACACCUAUGGGUGGCUGCAGUCGAGAAUAUUGGUCAAUGGGCGAAAGCCUGAACCAGCGACGCCGCGUGCUUGAAGAAGCCCUUCGGGGCGUAAAGAGCUUUUCUGGGGGAUGAAUCCCGAGAGUAAUCGAGGGAUGACAGUACCUCAGGAAUAAGGGGGUCCUAACUCUGUGCCAGCAGGAGCGGUAAUACAGAGCCCCCGAGCGUUAUCCGGAUUUAUUGGGCGUAAAGGGUCCGUAGGCGGUUAGGAAAGUCUUUGGUUAAAGACCCAGGGCUUAACCUUGGGAAUGCCAGAGAUACUAUUUAACUAGAGGGCGCUAGGGGCUGAUGGAACGGUCGGUGUAGGGGUGAAAUCCGUUGAUAUCGACCGGAACACCAAAAGCGAAGGCAUUCAGCUGGAGCGACCCUGACGCUGAGGGACGAAAGUGUGGGGAUCAAAAAGGAUUAGAUACCCUGGUAGUCC